GAUCAGCAACGCUGCGGUGAAUACGUUCCCGGGCCUUGUACACACCGCCCGUCACGUCACGAAAGUCGGCAACACCCGAAGCCCGUGGCCCAACCAGCUUGCUGGGGGGAGCGGUCGAAGGUGGGGCCGGCGAUUGGGACGAAGUCGUAACAAGGUAGCCGUACCGGAAGGUGCGGCUGGAUCACCUCCUUUCUAAGGAGCA
rnacentral:rRNA from 1 species